AAUAACAACGAACAUAUAAUUAAUUUUAUAUAAUUUUACACUUUAAUCAUUACAAUAAAUAACAAACAACUAAUUUUAUAUAAUUUUAUACUAAUUAACUUAAAAAUACGUAUAUACAUAAAAAAUUUCAUUUUUCAAGAGAGGGACUGCUCGAGCCCAAAACCCUUAGAGACAUCACGUCCAUUCUAUGCACUUGUCCUCUGUUCUUGUUCGAACGCUGCAAAAAUGAUGAAACAUAAUUAUUUCCAAAUUAAAUCCCAUCUAUAAAAAUAAAAUUGCAGCACAACUGUUUUCUUACCUCUCAGGAGUAAUUUAGGAGGUAAAUUAGAGUACUUUGUAGUACUCUACUUAUCAGAAUCCAUAAUCCAUGUGUGCCAUGGAUGCAAGAAAACUUAGAGAGGAAGGUUAAAGGAGAAAGAAAAUAGAAAAAAACUGAAAUUAGCAUAGAAUGAGAAUUGGUUUACAAAAGAAUUGGUUAUUAUAGUUUAUAUAAUUGAUUAUAAAAAUAAUUAACUAAACUAAUUAAGUUAUCUCUAAGUAACAAAGUGAUCAAUCUGAAUUAAUCAUCAUCAAAUUAUAUCUAUGUUAAGACUACUCGUUCAUCACGCAAUGAAUAAUUGAGGAUCAAUAAUGGCUUUGAAUUAACGUUAGCUUAACCUUUUUUUAAUGUUUUAAUAAUACUAUUGGCUGAACAAGUGAGAGGAACGAAUUUGCUUAAUGCCAAAACCUACUACAAUGAUUGAUUACUUAAGCUGACAUUUGCCCAUGAAGUUCUAUUUCACGGUCUUCUAUGUAAAAAAAAUUCUAUAAUGUUAUUAUUUGCUGAUGCAUACAUAGAGAUACAGCUAGCGCAAGCUACACCACAGUUCCGUAGUGGAAGCACCUUACCUUACUAGUACGAGACGUAAAACCAUGCUUGUUAAACACUAAUCCAAAAAAGACAAGCAAACGAUUCAAAUACAAUUUUGAAGAAAAUAACAUGUAACUGAACCAACGAUUGGUAAUCAAAGGGUUUAGAAGACUUGAAUCAGUAUAUUAAUUUGAUACGUAACAGAUCCUAUAAAAUCCUUUUCUUUUUUUUUCUAUAAUUGGACCAGAACUAUAAAUGAGUGUUUUUUAAGGCAUAAAUAAGUUUUUUUUUUUUAACUCAGAUUACUCCAAUUUUAAAUAUAAGAAAAAAAUUAUUUUUUCUUGAUCUCAAAUAAAAAAAAAUCAACUAAUUUUAUCUUUUAAUGUUAUCAUCUAAAGUAUUUUUCAUUUAAUUGAGAUUUUAAAUCCUAUGACUUCUUUUUAUUUCUAAACCAAGUUUCAAUGAAUGGUAAGGCCGCUAAUUAACCAGACCCACACUAAAUAAGAAUCUACCUACGUUUCUUGGAAACCCUUUUAACCAAUUCAUAUUUAAA
rnacentral:lncRNA from 1 species